AGGGACAUUCUUCUUCUCAAGCCA
rnacentral:tRNA from 1 species